rnacentral:rRNA from 1 species
GAUGAACGCUGGCGGCGUGCCUAACACAUGCAAGUCGAACGUGAUUGAAGAGCUUGCUCUUCAUGAAAGUGGCGCACGGGUGAGUAACGCGUAGAUAAUCUACCUGGUGAUUUGGGAUAACGGUUCGAAAGGACUGCUAAUACCGAAUAAGCCCACGGAGUCUUUGGAUUCUGCGGGAAAAGGGGGGGACCUUAUGGCCUUCCGUCAUCAGAUGAGUCUGCGUACCAUUAGCUAGUUGGUAGGGUAAAGGCCUACCAAGGCGACGAUGGUUAGCUGGUCUGAGAGGAUGAUCAGCCACACUGGACCUGGGCCACGGUCCAGACUCCUACGGGAGGCAGCAGUGGGGAAUUUUGCGCAAUGGGGGAAACCCUGACGCAGCAACGCCGCGUGAGUGAUGAAGGCCCUUGGGUCGUAAAGCUCUGACAGAGGGGAAGAAAUGCAGGGGAGCUAAUAUCUCCUUUGCUUGACGGUACCCUCAAAGGAAGCACCGGCUAACUCCGUGCCAGCCGCCGCAGUAAAAC